UCCUCAAUAGCUCAGUUGGUUAGAGCAUCUGACUGUUAAUCAGAGGGUCGUAGGUUCAAGUCCUACUUGAGGAGCCA
rnacentral:tRNA from 1 species